AUGGGGGCACCCUGAUCCAGCCAUGCCGCGUGUGUGAAGAAGGCCUUUUGGUUGUAAAGCACUUUAAGCAGUGAAGAAGACUCUUCGGUUAAUACCCGGAGACGAUGACAUUAGCUGCAGAAUAAGCACCGGCUAACUCUGUGCCAGCAGCCGCGGUAAUACAGAGGGUGCAAGCGUUAAUCGGAAUUACUGGGCGUAAAGCGAGCGUAGGUGGCUUGAUAAGUCAGAUGUGAAAUCCCCGGGCUUAACCUGGGAACUGCAUCUGAUACUGUUAGGCUAGAGUAGGUGAGAGGAAGGUAGAAUUCCAGGUGUAGCGGUGAAAUGCGUAGAGAUCUGGAGGAAUACCGAUGGCGAAGGCAGCCUUCUGGCAUCAUACUGACACUGAGGCUCGAAAGCGUGGGUAGCAAACAGGAUUAGAUACCCUGGUAGUCCACGCCGUAAACGAUGUCUACUAGUCGUUGGGUCCCUUGAGGACUUAGUGACGCAGCUAACGCAAUAAGUAGACCGCCUGGGGAGUACGGCCGCAAGGUUAAAACUCAAAUGAAUUGACGGGGGCCCGCACAAGCGGUGGAGCAUGUGGUUUAAUUCGAUGCAACGCGAAGAACCUUACCUGGUCUUGACAUAUCUAGAAUCCUGCAGAGAUGCGGGAGUGCCUUCGGGAAUUAGAAUACAGGUGCUGCAUGGCUGUCGUCAGCUCGUGUCGUGAGAUGUUGGGUUAAGUCCCGCAACGAGCGCAACCCUUGUCCUUAGUUACCAGCGGGUUAAGCCGGGAACUCUAAGGAUACUGCCAGUGACAAACUGGAGGAAGGCGGGGACGACGUCAAGUCAUCAUGGCCCCUUA
rnacentral:rRNA from 1 species